GAGACUCUGUGCGCGUGCAUAUCAAUAAGCGGAGGAAAAGAAACUAACAAGGAUUCCCCUAGUAACGGCGAGCGAAGCGGGAAGAGCUCAAAUUUGAAAUCUUAAAGGUUCUACCUUGACGAAUUGUAGUUUAAAGAAGUGUUUUCUGUUGGAGUUUCGGUAAAAGUUCUUUGGAAUAGGACAUCAUAGAGGGUGAGAAUCCCGUAUUUGACCGUUACUUUCCAGCUGUGUGAUACACUUUCAAAGAGUCGGAUUGUUUGGGAAUGCAGUCCAAGAUGGGUGGUAAAUUUCAUCUAAAGCUAAAUAUUGGCGAGAGACCGAUAGCGAACAAGUACCGUGAGGGAAAGAUGAAAAGAACUUUGAAAAGAGAGUUAAACAGUACGUGAAAUUGUCAAAAGGGAAGCGUUUGACACCAAUGUUGUUUAGUUGAAAAUCAAUUCAAUAGUUUUUGAUUCUAAGUAGUAUUGACUUCAUCAGCUUGCUGCUUUCUUCUCAGAAAUUAUUGAAUGCACUUUUCAGUUAACAAGUCAACAUCAAUUUCUUUUGUUGUAAAAGGGUAAGAGGAAGGUGGCUUGCGCUUCGGCUCAAGUGUUUAUAGCCUUUUAUCUCUGCAAUCGGAGAGAUUGAGGUCUGCAGCGUAGAUCCUUCGGGGUUAGAUACAUUGGUGCUAAGCUAUAGCCUUGUAUAGGACAACUUGUUGACUAUGCUCAGUCAUGUAGCUUACUCGCUGAUGCUAUUUUACCUACGCUUAGGAUGUUGACAGCAGUAUAGACUGU
rnacentral:rRNA from 1 species